GAUGAACGCUGACAGAAUGCUUAACACAUGCAAGUCUUUGGCGAAGCUGUGCUCGCACAGCCUAGCCAAGGCGGACGGGUGAGUAACGCGUAAGGAACUUGCCCUGCAGUCAGGGAUAACAGACGGAAACGACUGAUAAGACCUGGUAAAGUCAGGCGGACUCAUGUCCAGCCUGAUGAAAAGAGAUGCUGCAGGAGAGCCUUGCGUCCUAUUAGCUUGUUGGUGGGGUAACGGCCCACCAAGGCGAUGAUAGGUAGCCGGCCUGAGAGGGUGGACGGCCACAAGGGGACUGAGAUACGGCCCUUACUCCUACGGGAGGCAGCAGUGGGGAAUAUUGGACAAUGGGGGCAACCCUGAUCCAGCAAUGCUGUGUGCACGAUGAAGGUUUUCGGAUUGUAAAGUGCUUUCAGCAGGGAAGAAAAAAAUGACGGUACCUGCAGAAGAAGCGACGGCUAAAUACGU
rnacentral:rRNA from 1 species